CACAAAGAGACUUCGUUCUCUUUCCUUAUUUCUUCACAGCACCCAGACUGUCUCUCUCUCUUUUUGCUUUGCUCUUCUGGGAAACCAGCCCAUCACCACUUGGCUGCUGUGGCAGAGGAGGAGCUCCUUGGCCCUGGAAAAGAAGGGCCUCGGGGUGGAAAGACACACCUGCGAGCGCAGCAGGGCGAGGACAUCCUUCCCAUGUGCUGGGGAAGGCCGGGCCGGCGCUGUGGACCGCGCUGCCGCGCCACUCCGGCCUCAGUGACGCUGCUGCCCUGGGCUGCCUUGGGGACAUGCACGUGCUGCAGCGGAGGAUCAUCAUGGAAUAACCCAGACAGCAACGCAGGUGGUGAGUUUCGAAAUAACGCUCAGCUCGCAGCAGAGUUUGUGAUUUCAGAGCCCAGGCCCAUGUCGUUUGUAACAGUAGAGCUGUUUUGAAAGGUAAGGAUUUUAGAAUUCUAAAAGCUUAGCUUUGAAUGCUAACAGGCCAAGGCCGAAGAACUCAACAAACCAAUGUGUACCGUCGGCCGACCUUCCCCACUCCCUGCAUUUCGCAGCACGUGAACUGCGAUGGCCUUGCGUCUGCGGAGCCGCUGGCCGCAGCCCAGGGGACCGUGCACCCCGGCAGGCCCUGAUGGCCGGCUGCUCCCUCCUUUCUCCCCAGCAUGGAAGCGCUGCUGGGUGAAUGAUAGAAAUGGAGGAGUCAGUGGUGGGAGAGCUGUUUCCCGUGAGGAAGACACUGAAGUGAUGUCCAGAGGGCAGAGGAUAGACGGACCCGACGUGGGACCCCGAGAGGAGCUCUUCUCCGUUUACAGACCAGCGGGAAGACCAGCACACAAAUAAUUACAGCAGCCACUGAAUGCGGGGAAGUUGAAAAUGCACAGCACGCCCUGUGACUCAGAAGGUCUAAGGAGAGCGGCUGCUUUUGAGAUCCUUCCCACUCACAGGACCCUCUUUGGCCUGGCUGGCAGCGAGCCAGGUUUAAGUACUCGUCAAAUCCCGUUACGAGGCCUGAUUCUACAGCAAAGCAGCAGCCAGCCAGUUCAGAGCCCGCGGAGUCCUCCUGUGAGGUUUCCGGCCGUCGGGACCACGUGCUCUUUCCUCCUCGAGGGCAGAUCUCCGCACGUGUUCUCCCGUGUAUCCGUGAUCCUCUUGCUGUCAGUCCUCACCGCCUGUCUCUGUCCCCUUCCCACGUCCUCCGUCCGUCUCCCUCUCCCGCCAGCCACUGACCGACCAGGCCGUCGAGGGUCUGAGCACUGCGGAGUGCUUGAGAAAGCCCUUGGGGCUGCCAGCCGCAGCUGCGCUCCGUCCGCUCACCCGUCUGUCUCCUCCCAGAAAGCCACCUCUGUUCCCUGCUGGCCACCUCUGUUCCCUGCUGGCCACCCUGGCCACUUGCUCGCGCCUCCUCCCUCUGCAUCCUGGCGUUUACCCCGACCCCUCGCCCUUUCCCCUGCCACGGACUCCCAGAUAGUCUCUGGGCACCGGGAGGUUGGUUUGGUAUCUUCUGAGGGCGCAAGCAGUCUGGGCAGUGAAGUCCAAGGGGAAGCCAGCAGCCGUUCACGCCCGGUGCGCUCUCCCUGGCCCCACCCCGAGGACGCACGGAUGCCGACCUGGUGGAUGCCUCAGUGUCUAGUCAGUGGGACGCGUGAAGCUCCCUUCCACUCUUGAUGUGUCCCGGACCUGUUUGACCAGGUGAGCGAUGUCUACCUUACAUGGUCAGGUCUUGAAAGCCAGAUGGGAGGCUGAGACCAGUUCUGUGCAAUUCUCUGAACAGUGAUUAGCCCAGAACCAUAAGCAAUUAGAUUCCUAAUAGGUGUUCUCUGAUGGUAUCAUCAUUCAUGCCUCAAUGUUCCCCCAAAGCCUCACGUGGUCAUAGGUUUUUUUCAAAGGUGGCUGACUGUAGAGUGUGUAACUGAUUCGUAGGGCAACGCUCGGAUUAAGGGUGAGUGAUUCUGACUGGAUUGGCACCGCCCUAAUUCGGGUAGACUGGGUACAAUGUAAAGGACAGAAAGAGGCUUUUCUUCCCUCUCU
rnacentral:lncRNA from 1 species